GACGAACGCUGGCGGCGUGCUUAACACAUGCAAGUCGAACGGAAAGGCCUUUUCGGAGGUACUCGAGUGGCGAACGGGUGAGUAACACGUGGGUGAUCUGCCCUGCACUCUGGGAUAAGCCUGGGAAACUGGGUCUAAUACCGGAUAGGACCGCACUUUAGUGUGUGUGGUGGAAAGUUUUUUCGGUGUAGGAUGAGCCCGCGGCCUAUCAGCUUGUUGGUGGGGUAAUGGCCUACCAAGGCGGCGACGGGUAGCCGGACUGAGAGGUUGGUCGGCCACAUUGGGACUGAGAUACGGCCCAGACUCCUGCGGGGGGCAGCAGUGGGGAAUAUUGCACAAUGGGCGCAAGCCUGAUGCAGCGACGCCGCGUGGGGGAUGACGGCCUUCGGGUUGUAAACUCCUUUCGCCAGGGACGAAGCGUUUUGUGACGGUACCUGGAGAAGAAGCACCGGCUAACUACGUG
rnacentral:rRNA from 1 species